UUUUGGAGAAAAAAGGGGAUGUUAAGAUUACUGCAGCUUUAAGCUCAGCUCACCACACCCCCUGGGUGUGUCUGGGUCUCUGUGACAUCAUCAGAAGCCAUGUUAGUUUUACUGAUGGAACCUGCUAGAGAAUAAGCCAUGUGGCUGUAGCUGAAUAAAAGUUAUCUAAAGUUCCUGCUGCAGAGUCUUCAUGAUAUGUGCAAGACACAAGUGGGAUUUUGCUGAUUGACAGAGGGAUCUGGAGUACCGAUCUGAAAAACAAUGUGGCAUAGGGAGACUUGACUGGGUGUGAAGGGGUUAAAUCUGAAUGAAAACAGGAAGAGAAUUCACUGAGAGCAGCCCCUGCAAAUGGUGGCAACAUUAUUCAUAUCUGACCCAGCAACAUUUUAAUAACCAGGCUCAGAGACAGAAGCGACAAACAGAGAAUGAGAGAACGAGACAGCAUGAUGGCUGGUGAUCCGUGCACUACGGUAUAUAGUUUACAAAUCCGUCCUGUUUUCCUUCUUGUAAUCUGUCAUAUCCUGUUGGUUUUUAUUAACUGGAAUCACCCAAUUGACAAUAAAAAUAAAAAAACAUAAAAUAAA